CGAUGAUGCCCAGCUUGCUGGGUGGAUUAGUGGCGAACGGGUGAGUAACACGUGAGUAACCUGCCCCUGACUCUGGGAUAAGCGUUGGAAACGACGUCUAAUACUGGAUAUGACUACCGGCCGCAUGGUCUGGUGGUGGAAAGAUUUUUUGGUUGGGGAUGGACUCGCGGCCUAUCAGCUUGUUGGUGAGGUAAUGGCUCACCAAGGCGACGACGGGUAGCCGGCCUGAGAGGGUGACCGGCCACACUGGGACUGAGACACGGCCCAGACUCCUACGGGAGGCAGCAGUGGGGAAUAUUGCACAAUGGGCGAAAGCCUGAUGCAGCAACGCCGCGUGAGGGAUGACGGCCUUCGGGUUGUAAACCUCUUUUAGUAGGGAAGAAG
rnacentral:rRNA from 1 species